rnacentral:rRNA from 1 species
UUCUUUUAGUUCAUAUCUAAAGUAAAGCCUGCCCACUGAAAAUUUUAAGGGCCGCGGUAUUAUGACCGUGCAAAGGUAGCAUAAUCAUUAGUCUCUUAAUUAGAGAAUUGUAUGAACGGUUUAACGUAAUUUUAUUGUUUAUAUUUAUAAAUUGAAUUUGAAUUUUAAGUGAAAAUGCUUAAAUAUAUUUAAAGACGAUAAGACCCUAUAGAGUUUAAUUUAUGGGGAUUAUAUUAAAAUUUGUAGAAAUUAGUGUGAGAUUCGUAAAUUUUAUUGGGGCAAUAUAAGAAUAAAACUAACUUCUUCAUGGAACAUUUUAUACAAUAAAUUAACUUGAUCUUAAAAAUUUAUAAAAAAUUACCUUAGGGAUAACAGCGUUAUUAAAAUUAAGAGUGCAUAUCGACAUUUUAGAUUGCGACCUCGAUGUUGAAUUAAAAAUUCUUUAUGGUGCAGAAGUCAUAGAAGAUAGUCUGUUCGACUAUUAAAUUUUUACA